CAAUGGCGGUAACAGAGUGAGGCGACCCCGCGAGGGUGAGCGAAGCNCAAAAAAGCCGUCCCAGUUCGGAUUGUAGUCUGCAACCCGACUACAUGAAGCUGGAAUCGCUAGUAAUCGCAGGUCGGCAUACUGCGGUGAAUACGUUCCCGGGUCUUGUACACACCGCCCGUCAAGCCAUGGAAGCCGGGGGUGCCUGAAGUGCGCUGCCGCAAGGAGCGUCCUAGGGUAAAACCGGUGACUGGGGCUAAGUCGUAACAAGGUAGC
rnacentral:rRNA from 1 species